UAGUGCUGGCAGCCAAGAUGGGCACCAGUGCAUGUUCCUGCUGCUCCACUUCCCACCCAGUUCCCUGCUAAAGCGCCUGGGAACGCAGCAGAGGACAGCCCAAGGGUUUGCGUAUCUGCACCCAUGUGAGAAACCCAGAAGAAGCUUCGGGCUCCCAGUUUUCAACUGGCAUACUCUGGCCAUUACCCCCGUCUGGCAGGUUAUCCGCAGACUGAAGAUCUCUCUCUCUCCUCUCUUUCUCUCUUCUCUCUCUAACCAUGACAUUCAAAUGAAAUAAACAAAUUUUAAAACAAAGGUGUUCAAAAGUGGUCUGCAUUCAGUUUGGUGACAAAAAGUUUCAGGCCUGAAUGUAAGAGCCGAGGUGGACAUUGUACGGCUGAACAUGGGAAGCUGCUGGCUUCCCUGCCGUCUACUAACAGUCUUUCAAAAAUGCUGAAAUGGAAACGUUUCAGAAUGAAAAGGCAGUUUUUCCCAGAGCCACGUCAUCCAUUCUCCAGUUAGCUUUACUCUCAUGUUCCUUGGGCCCAGAGAGCUACAUGAAGAAUCAGGAAUUUUAAAAUACUCAAGUUACUUCAGCUCUUGGUGCCGCCAAUGGAAGAAAUCCUGAGAGUAAACCUUCUGUAUUCCAGAAGCAUUCUGAAGAAUAGCCACGGUUGAACAUGUUUGCUGACUUAUAGGUUCACAUAGACUUCAAUUAAAUUUUCAGGUAACUUCAGAGUGAAAGGCACCAGGGGACAUUUCAUCCAGUGUCAGGAGUGACUGUGUGUCUCAAAAUUAAAUCCCAAGAAGUGAAAUCCUCAAAUGGACAGAGUGCAGAGGAGAAGAGAGUCCUGCCUGUCCCAGCCACGUCUUUGCUCGCUUCGCUGAGCUCUUGAGUACAAAUGGGCAUGCAGUGCUCCCUGACUCCUGAGCCCAGCCCGCUGCGUCUCCAGAGAUGCACCUGUGAAUUCCUUUUCCCAGAGUGGCACUGGAGUUUUGCUGAGCCACCCAAGCUUCCAUUUCAUCCCGCGAUUGAGUAUGGACCUGACAUUACAGUCCCAUCCUGGCUGUG